rnacentral:rRNA from 2 species
GGGUUGUGAGGUUAAGCGACUAAGCGUACACGGUGGAUGCCCUGGCAGUCAGAGGCGAUGAAGGGCGUGCUAAUCUGCGAUAAGCGCCGGUAAGGUGAUAUGAACCGUUAUAACCGGCGAUACCCGAAUGGGGAAACCCAGUGUGAUUCGUCACACUAUCAUUAACUGAAUCCAUAGGUUAAUGAGGCGAACCGGGGGAACUGAAACAUCUAAGUACCCCGAGGAAAAGAAAUCAACCGAGAUUCCCCCAGUAGCGGCGAGCGAACGGGGAGGAGCCCAGAGCCUGAAUCAGCAUGUGUGUUAGUGGAAGCGUCUGGAAAGGCGCGCGAUACAGGGUGACAGCCCCGUACACAAAAGCGCAUGUGCUGUGAGCUCGAUGAGUAGGGCGGGACACGUGGUAUCCUGUCUGAAUAUGGGGGGACCAUCCUCCAAGGCUAAAUACUCCUGACUGACCGAUAGUGAACCAGUACCGUGAGGGAAAGGCGAAAAGAACCCCGGCGAGGGGAGUGAAAAAGAACCUGAAACCGUGUACGUACAAGCAGUGGGAGCACCCUUCGGGGUGUGACUGCGUACCUUUUGUAUAAUGGGUCAGCGACUUAUAUUCUGUAGCAAGGUUAACCGUAUAGGGGAGCCGGAGGGAAACCGAGUCUUAACCGGGCGUUAAGUUGCAGGGUAUAGACCCGAAACCCGGUGAUCUAGCCAUGGGCAGGUUGAAGGUUGGGUAACACUAACUGGAGGACCGAACCGACUAAUGUUGAAAAAUUAGCGGAUGACCUGUGGCUGGGGGUGAAAGGCCAAUCAAACCGGGAGAUAGCUGGUUCUCCCCGAAAGCUAUUUAGGUAGCGCCUCGUGAAUUCAUCUCCGGGGGUAGAGCACUGUUUCGGCUAGGGGGCCAUCCCGGCUUACCAACCCGAUGCAAACUGCGAAUACCGGAGAAUGUUAUCACGGGAGACACACGGCGGGUGCUAACGUCCGUCGUGAAGAGGGAAACAACCCAGACCGCCAGCUAAGGUCCCAAAGUCAUGGUUAAGUGGGAAACGAUGUGGGAAGGCCCAGACAGCCAGGAUGUUGGCUUAGAAGCAGCCAUCAUUUAAAGAAAGCGUAAUAGCUCACUGGUCGAGUCGGCCUGCGCGGAAGAUGUAACGGGGCUAAACCAUGCACCGAAGCUGCGGCAGCGAACGUAUCACCCAAGACAACUUUACGGAGUUGACGAUUGACGGAGCGAAGCGACGUCAAAGCGUUCAUUAAAGUCGAGUUGGCUUAGGGAUACGUUCGUUGGGUAGGGGAGCGUUCUGUAAGCCUGUGAAGGUGUGUCGUGAGGCAUGCUGGAGGUAUCAGAAGUGCGAAUGCUGACAUAAGUAACGAUAAAGCGGGUGAAAAGCCCGCUCGCCGGAAGACCAAGGGUUCCUGUCCAACGUUAAU